rnacentral:rRNA from 1 species
UUAAGCGACUAAGCGUACACGGUGGAUGCCCUGGCAGUCAGAGGCGAUGAAGGACGUGCUAAUCUGCGAUAAGCGUCGGUAAGGUGAUAUGAACCGUUAUAACCGGCGAUUUCCGAAUGGGGAAACCCAGUGUGAUUCGUCACACUAUCAUUAACUGAAUCCAUAGGUUAAUGAGGCGAACCGGGGGAACUGAAACAUCUAAGUACCCCGAGGAAAAGAAAUCAACCGAGAUUCCCCCAGUAGCGGCGAGCGAACGGGGAGCAGCCCAGAGCCUGAAUCAGUGUGUGUGUUAGUGGAAGCGUCUGGAAAGGCGCGCGAUACAGGGUGACAGCCCCGUACACAAAAAUGCACAUACUGUGAGCUCGAUGAGUAGGGCGGGACACGUGGUAUCCUGUCUGAAUAUGGGGGGACCAUCCUCCAAGGCUAAAUACUCCUGACUGACCGAUAGUGAACCAGUACCGUGAGGGAAAGGCGAAAAGAACCCCGGCGAGGGGAGUGAAAAAGAACCUGAAACCGUGUACGUACAAGCAGUGGGAGCACAGAGCAAUCUGUGUGACUGCGUACCUUUUGUAUAAUGGGUCAGCGACUUAUAUUCUGUAGCAAGGUUAACCGAAUAGGGGAGCCGAAGGGAAACCGAGUCUUAACUGGGCGUUAAGUUGCAGGGUAUAGACCCGAAACCCGGUGAUCUAGCCAUGGGCAGGUUGAAGGUUGGGUAACACUAACUGGAGGACCGAACCGACUAAUGUUGAAAAAUUAGCGGAUGACUUGUGGCUGGGGGUGAAAGGCCAAUCAAACCGGGAGAUAGCUGGUUCUCCCCGAAAGCUAUUUAGGUAGCGCCUCGUGAAUUCAUCUCCGGGGGUAGAGCACUGUUUCGGCAAGGGGGUCAUCCCGACUUACCAACCCGAUGCAAACUACGAAUACCGGAGAAUGUUAUCACGGGAGACACACGGCGGGUGCUAACGUCCGUCGUGAAGAGGGAAACAACCCAGACCGCCAGCUAAGGUCCCAAAGUCAUGGUUAAGUGGGAAACGAUGUGGGAAGGCCCAGACAGCCAGGAUGUUGGCUUAGAAGCAGCCAUCAUUUAAAGAAAGCGUAAUAGCUCACUGGUCGAGUCGGCCUGCGCGGAAGAUGUAACGGGGCUAAACCAUGCACCGAAGCUGCGGCAGCGACGCUUAUGCGUUGUUGGGUAGGGGAGCGUUCUGUAAGCCUGUGAAGGUGUACUGUGAGGUAUGCUGGAGGUAUCAGAAGUGCGAAUGCUGACAUAAGUAACGAUAAAGCGGGUGAAAAGCCCGCUCGCCGGAAGACCAAGGGUUCCUGUCCAACGUUAAUCGGGGCAGGGUGAGUCGACCCCUAAGGCGAGGCCGAAAGGCGUAGUCGAUGGGAAACAGGUUAAUAUUCCUGUACUUGGUGUUACUGCGAAGGGGGGACGGAGAAGGCUAUGUUGGCCGGGCGACGGUUGUCCCGGUUUAAGCGUGUAGGCUGGUUUUCCAGGCAAAUCCGGAAAAUCAAGGCUGAGGCGUGAUGACGAGGCACUACGGUGCUGAAGCAACAAAUGCCCUGCUUCCAGGAAAAGCCUCUAAGCAUCAGGUAACAUCAAAUCGUACCCCAAACCGACACAGGUGGUCAGGUAGAGAAUACCAAGGCGCUUGAGAGAACUCGGGUGAAGGAACUAGGCAAAAUGGUGCCGUAACUUCGGGAGAAGGCACGCUGAUAUGUAGGUGAAGUCCCUCGCGGAUGGAGCUGAAAUCAGUCGAAGAUACCAGCUGGCUGCAACUGUUUAUUAAAAACACAGCACUGUGCAAACACGAAAGUGGACGUAUACGGUGUGACGCCUGCCCGGUGCCGGAAGGUUAAUUGAUGGGGUCAGCGCAAGCGAAGCUCUUGAUCGAAGCCCCGGUAAACGGCGGCCGUAACUAUAACGGUCCUAAGGUAGCGAAAUUCCUUGUCGGGUAAGUUCCGACCUGCACGAAUGGCGUAAUGAUGGCCAGGCUGUCUCCACCCGAGACUCAGUGAAAUUGAACUCGCUGUGAAGAUGCAGUGUACCCGCGGCAAGACGGAAAGACCCCGUGAACCUUUACUAUAGCUUGACACUGAACAUUGAGCCUUGAUGUGUAGGAUAGGUGGGAGGCUUUGAAGUGUGGACGCCAGUCUGCAUGGAGCCGACCUUGAAAUACCACCCUUUAAUGUUUGAUGUUCUAACGUUGACCCGUGAUCCGGGUUGCGGACAGUGUCUGGUGGGUAGUUUGACUGGGGCGGUCUCCUCCUAAAGAGUAACGGAGGAGCACGAAGGUUGGCUAAUCCUGGUCGGACAUCAGGAGGUUAGUGCAAUGGCAUAAGCCAGCUUGACUGCGAGCGUGACGGCGCGAGCAGGUGCGAAAGCAGGUCAUAGUGAUCCGGUGGUUCUGAAUGGAAGGGCCAUCGCUCAACGGAUAAAAGGUACUCCGGGGAUAACAGGCUGAUACCGCCCAAGAGUUCAUAUCGACGGCGGUGUUUGGCACCUCGAUGUCGGCUCAUCACAUCCUGGGGCUGAAGUAGGUCCCAAGGGUAUGGCUGUUCGCCAUUUAAAGUGGUACGCGAGCUGGGUUUAGAACGUCGUGAGACAGUUCGGUCCCUAUCUGCCGUGGGCGCUGGAGAACUGAGGGGGGCUGCUCCUAGUACGAGAGGACCGGAGUGGACGCAUCACUGGUGUUCGGGUUGUCAUGCCAAUGGCACUGCCCGGUAGCUAAAUGCGGAAGAGAUAAGUGCUGAAAGCAUCUAAGCACGAAACUUGCCCCGAGAUGAGUUCUCCCUGACUCCUUGAGAGUCCUGAAGGAACGUUGAAGACGACGACGUUGAUAGGCCGGGUGUGUAAGCGCAGCGAUGCGUUGAGCUAACCGGUACUAAUGAACCGUGAGGCUUAACCUU